rnacentral:lncRNA from 1 species
AUCGAAGGUAAUGGACUUCUGCAUUAGUGGCAAUACAGUGAUCCUGAACACCUAGGAGGAAUUUAUGAGAAAAACCACUAUCCACACCCAGAGGAAACAGUGUGGGAGUAAAAAUACCAAAGAAAAACAACUGCUUGAAUACAUGGGUCUUAGGGAUAUGGUUGGGGAUGUAGACUCUAAAUGAACAUCCUAGUGUAAACAACAUGAAAAAUGGGUUCUGAUCAAGGACACAUGUAAUACCCAAUGAAAGUGUGUGUUGGUUGUGGGAAGAGUGGGAGGAGGGGAGAGAGGGAAAUAAUGUGAUUAUUAUAACCAAGGAAUAAUGUUCUAAAUUGACUAAACUCCUUCAAAUGAAAAAAUAAGGAAACUGAGUCUGAAAGAGUUUAAUAAGGAAGAGAAGCAGAGGCAUAGGUGAGAGAAUAGCAAUAAACCAGGGAUGAGGGGAUCCCUGGUGACAAAGAGGACACUGGAUUCUCUCUGUGGUCAAGGAGAGAUGGCAGUGAGAGGGGUAAAUUCACUCAGUUACCCAACUUCCUCUUAGGAGAGUACAGUGUCAAGGGUGACAAGCCUCACCUGGCUAAGAGUGAGGUUUGUUUGGGCCCAAUUGUCAUAGCAACAAGGGAAUGUUUGGUAACAGAGCCAGUGACUUCACAGAAGCUGGAUUUAAUUCCACAUUUCUGAAGCUCAGGGAAGAGCAGAGCCAGCCAGGGGAGAAUGUGGAGGCAGAAGAAGACAAUAGUUGCCUUGGAAGAGCUGUGACUACUAGAAAAGUACUGUCCUGCUCAGGGAAGAGCAGAGCCACCCCGGAGAGAACUUGGAGGAAGAGGAAGACAAUAGUUUCCUUGGAAGAGCUGUGAGUCCUAGAAAAGUACUGUCCCGGUGAGUGUACUCCUUAGCACUCAUCCAAAAAUUU